AAAACAAGAGCUAAGCCAUCUCAUAAGAGAAGCAUAACACUAUUUUAACCUGUCACAGUGGCUAAUAUUUGCACAUUAUUACACAAAAUAAUAAUAGUAAUAAAAUCUGAAAUUGUUUUAACUAAUUUCAAUUUCUCAGCUAAACUUAAUAUACAAAAUAUUUGUUAACAAAGCUACAUCUCUUCGAGAUCGAAGAUCCUGUCCUAUUGUGUACUGCAUCAUACCUUCAACUAUUUUGUAUUAUGGACAAGAAAUAACCAAAUAUCAUAUUGUGGAGAGCUCAGUGUGAGCAGAGACUGAAGGCAAAACCUUCUUCCCUCUGGUCAUACUAUGUCAUUGGUUUGAUUUCAAGAAGAAUAUGUGAGAGUGAGAGAACUUCGUCCUCCUCACCCGCUAAUUCUACAUUUCCUAAUAAUCUUGUUUGAAAGAUUUACAUGUCUAUUCCAUAUGUUUUGUACCUCUGGGAGCCCUAUCUCUAGCCAGGGCUUUGCAGGGCCACUAAAAUGUAAAACAGCAGCAGCUUCCAGUAUCUCUCUGCGACCUUCGGGGGGUCUAUAGCCUAGUCCAGCCAGAUGCCAUGUGGGAUCAAUAGGGUGCACUUGACCAUCAAAAGCAAGUAAUGCCGGUGGAAACACCCCUGGUUGCCAUAAUUCCAGUCCAGAUUUUAGACUCUGCAAACAAGAUGAUUGACAUUAAGGCAGAGAAGGAAAAAAAAAUACAUUCAUAAUAAAGGAUAAUUAUGAACACAUGAAACUCUCCUGUGAAUGACUACAUAGGCUCUCGCAGAUUAAGGUGGAAGGUAGCUAGGCGAUAGCCAUUGUAAAACAUUAACACUCUUUGUGAUAAGGAGCCAAACAGAUACAGCAUGGGAUGUUCAAACAUAGCCCCGAAUCAAAUAUAAUACAAAACAUGGUUCGUAUAGCGAACUCCAACAAGAUUGGGAUUAAGACAUAAUUAAAUUGAUUAGGUAGUCUACAAUUGCACCACGAAAAUACUUGCUGAAAUUGGGUCAUCAAAUAUAAAUGUUUCCAACAGCACAACCAAGCUUCCUCCAAAGUAUCAAUUCCGUUGACAAACAAUGAUUGCAUCUUUUGUAAAGCCAGUGUGUGUGCGCACGUGUGCUCAACUGGCAGCAUUUCAACAGAAAAGAGCUUACUUACAUGUUUCAACCAUUUAUGGUAAUUUGUUGUGACAUUGGCUCUCCUCCAAGUGUUAAGAUCAAAGACAUUCAUGCCAUAAAGCCAGGCACAACGUUCAGGAUCAAAAUUAGAUGAAAUUAUUGGGUGAGAAAAAUUCAAAAAAUCUUUAUAUCUUCGUCCUGGGCAGCAGUUUUCACCGCACCAUGAGUCAACAACAGCACCAACAACUUUCUUGUUGAGAUCCAAUUCCCACAAAGAUGAUAUGUCAUGUUGCACUACUACAUCAUCAUCCAAGAAAACUAUCUUGUUGAGAUCUGGAAACAGCUGUGCAGCCCAUGAAAGUCAAAUUAUAGAUCCAUCAUUAUUAAAUACUUCAUACAUUCAACAUCAUCAAUCCAAUCACAGAAGAUCAAAUGAAUUUUGAGUAAUACCUCAGGAAUAUAAAUUCGGAGAUGAUUCAACAGGGAAAGAGACGUGGGACUUAAAGCCUCCAAACUUCUCAUGCGCUCUUCGUCGAGUAGAAAGUUAUCUUCUUUCAUAUUGGUGUAGUAGUGGCUCCAAAUAAGACGAUGAAUCUCUAACAUCUCUUUAAUGCCAAUAUUUACUUCCUUUGUCCAGUCAUAUUGGUGCAAUCCCUUAAUUUCCACAACCGCUGAUUUAAUAGGAUUGAUAGCAAACCAUGCAUGCAUUGGGGUGUAUGUUUUCUUGUCAGUGAUUACAUGAAACACCAAUUUUUCAGGGCUGACUGAGUUUUGGACUGUAGAAGAGAUGACAACAGAGGCAGCAAGAACAUUAUCAGUUAUGAGAACAACAUGAUGAAAGGAUGGAUCUGCCAGGCGAGACACAUAUUCAGGUUGGGGUAAACGAGAUCGGGCUAUGGCAUUUACAGCAUAUUCCUCAGCCAAUUUGAGGCAAAGGCAAUGUAGGGUCUUUGGAAUGCCAUGUGAAGCUAAAUGCCAGAAAAUUGACUCACGCUGUCUGGCUAACUGCACCUUGCGCUCCAUUUUAGACAGCAUGGCCUUGGUCUUGAGAGCAAAAGCCUUAAUGUCUGGUCGUUUAGACGUCAUUUCCUUCACAAGGUCGUUGAAUGAUUCUGUUGAAUCGUCCAUUCCAUUAUCAUAUAUGCCACCCUCCUUUGCCUCCAACAAUGCUCUUGUCAGCUCUUCUCUCAGCUUCAGAGAUGUGUCCCUCCCGCCGAAAAACCUCCAUCCCGUACAGUCAAAGGUGGGACUGCAAGCAGUGGCAGAUUCGAGGACCAAAAACGCAAUUCUAACAAAAAGGAAGGGCAAAAGGAUCCCAAGCAGCAGCACCACCGGCAGCACUGUCCGGCUAGAAAGCCUCCGACACGCAGCCACCUUAGAUCCCUUUCCCCCGCUGCUGCCGGAGUUCGAUAUCGUCACUCUCUUAAUCCCCGCUGUCGAAAUAUAAAACUUCAUAAUGAUUUGCUGGCAGUUUCCUGAGCUUUAUCGCCCUUUCUCUCUAAUUCCAUGUCAAAUUCCAAUCCCUUUCCGCUUCUCACUCUACGCUGCUGCGUCGAUACAAAGAGAUCUAGCUUCUUCAGCACCACUUUUGGUCACGAGUUUGAUCUCUGUGGAGUUGAGUGAGUGAGUACAAAAUCGCUUUUAAGAGACUCAAUGGGAUGAGCCUUCUGUAUCGGCUACUUGACAAAAGAAACAAAAACGCCUUGUGUUCUUUUUCCCCUUCUUAUAGUUUUUCUUUUGUAGUAAUUUUUU
rnacentral:misc_RNA from 1 species